rnacentral:rRNA from 1 species
UACGUAGGGUGCGAGCGUUGUCCGGAAUUAUUGGGCGUAAAGAGCUCGUAGGCGGUGUGUCGCGUCGGCCGUGAAAACCUGGGGCUUAACUCUGGGCUUGCGGUCGAUACGGGCAUCACUGGAGUUCGGCAGGGGAGACUGGAAUUCCUGGUGUAGCGGUGAAAUGCGCAGAUAUCAGGAGGAACACCGGUGGCGAAGGCGGGUCUCUGGGCCGAUACUGACGCUGAGGAGCGAAAGCGUGGGGAGCGAACAGG